rnacentral:lncRNA from 1 species
GAGGGAAGCGUGCGCUGUGUAACUGCGGAGGAUACGAGGCACUUCCAAGUUCAACGUGCAGCAAAACAUUCUGUUCACGAGAACGAGCACAAACAGCAGACAGAAGAAGGGGUUACCCCGUGGAAAUUUCAGCCCACGGGAGGAAAUCGAACGUGUUUAAUAAACCGAGACACUGGGGUCCUGCGGGACAGCAAAACGCGUGAAACCAACACAGAGCGACGCGGGAUCCGCGACGACGCCCCCCGGCAGAGCGGCGCGCAGGGGCUCGGCGCUCCCCUCCGCAGGGCCCCGCGUCCCCGCCCGCCCAUCCGUGCCGCAGCACGCGGCUGCCCCGCGCCCGCCCGGGCACGCCCGUGCCAUUCCCCUCAGGGCCGGCCGACGGCCGACCCCGCGCGCGAGCCGCCUCCCCUCAUCGCCUCACUUACGCGAGCCAACGCUUUUCGAGUUUUAUUCCCGGACGCCUUCCGACCCCCCUCGCAAAGCGCAUCCCCCCCACCCGGCCCCGAGGCGGCGGGACACCCCGCCCUCGGAGCCGCAGCACGGCGCGCAGCUCCCUCCGCGCCGCCGAAACCCCGCGCCCCUCCGCCCGGGGCUCCGGGCAGCGGCUUCGCGCCGCCCAGCGCGCACGCGCGUUCCCCUCCGCGCACGCGCGCCGCGUCCCGAGCCGCAAAAUCCGAUAGGGGGGAAAAUCUGAACGGCGCCGCCGCCGCCGCCAUAUUGCGGAGCUGUCAGCGGCCGCCGCGCUCGGCGCCUCGUCCCCGGCGGCGCCGCGAGCAGCGCGGGGCGGCCCCGCAGCGCCUCCUGCCCCGCUGCCAGGGGGGAGCUGCGCGGCGGGGCGGGGAAGGGAAACGCCCGCCUCGGUUCUCUCGGUCGCCUUUCCGCGCCUCGUCCCCUCCCCGACGCCGCGGGGGGAGCGCAGCCCCAGGUGAGCUCGGCGGGGGCGGCGGGCCGGGUCGGGUCGGGUCGGGCGGCGGGCCGGGUGCUGCGGGCGCUGAGCGCUCCGUCCCGCCGCCCCCUCCGAGCGAGUCGUGGGCGUUCUGCGGGAGCUCCCGCUGCAUUAUUCAUGGGCUCCGCGGCCAUGUGGCGGCUGCGUGCGGGAGCGAUAAGGGCUCGCUUCGUGAGGGAGCGCCGCGAGCAUCUGUUGCUGUCUUUUGUUUCCGACGAGCGGACGCUUGGAGAGUCCUCGAGUGCCGGCCGGCGUCGCGGCUCGGCGGCUCUCAACGAGCCUUUGUGCCCUGCGCGCCUGGCUUCGUGCUCUGCGGGCUGUGUGCGGGCUGUGCCGCCUGCGCUUCGCCUUUCGCUUCGAGGCGCGCAGCCCGCGGCUCUGUGCCCUCCGGCCGUGCCGGUUCUCUGCGUCCGCGCGUGGGAAGCUACUCUGUCGGCCUCCGUCGUGCCGGCAGAAAGAACCGAACCGGCCGCGGGCUGCGGCGGGGCUGCCUUUCCCCAUCGGCCAAGUGUUUCGCGCUCCCCCCCCCAGGGCACGGCCUUCCGCAAGCGUUUUCUUUCUGGGCUGUGGGAGUUGAGAGAACUCGGCUCCGUUCCGCGUGCGUGACGCUGAGUCAGGCUCCGGAGGUGUCCCUGCGCCCGGCCCCGUGCCGCGCGUCUCGGCUCGGCGCUGCCCACACGCGGGUGCCGCAGCUGUCGGUGCGUGGGCACCGCUCUGCAGCGCUGCGCCGGGCGGGGCGUGGAGCUGCGCGCGGGGAAUCGGCCCCGCUUCUGCCCCGCUUCUGUGUGCGGAGGAGCGAAAGCCGUCGGUCGGGUUGUAACUCUCGUCUGUAUGGAGCUAUCGAUUUAGCAGAAGAGGGGUUGUGA